CGACAUUUGUUUUCGUGGCCGCUACAGGGAGCGACCGCAGCGCCGCCAUUCGGUAGAGCCUGAAACGCCCUUUUUAGGCACUUUUUCUCCCUGAAGACGGCCGCUGGCCUAGGUACUGAGGAAGAGAACGCCCCUAGCUCCACUUGUCCCUAGCCGGAUCGGCAGCCAAGCCAUGGCUCAUGAGCCAGCAGAGAACGCGCCGGUGUGACCUUAUGCCAAGAAGCAACACAGCAAGAUGACCAGAGGAUGUACCACUUCAAGAUGGAAAUGGCUAUGUUCAAAGAUAUUUUAGAGAUGUACAAGGAAGAUUUUGGGAUUCUCGUUGCAUCAAUAUAUGCGAUCUGCAGUAGCAAUGUCCAAAACUUAACGGGCACUUUCAUGUAGAGAGAGCCUUCCUUAUUACAGCACUUAUUCGCAAGAUUUCAGCGUACUGAAAUCUUUGAUGAACAUGAACAUUGCCCUAAUUAAUUAUGUAUGACAUUACUAUACAGUAUUAUGUACUUAUAAGCUUUGUUUAUCAAUGUCUUGUAUUAAUGUAAUUUUUUUUUGUUUUCGGUACAAUUAACUUAUGUACCUAUUUGUGAUUUGUACCCAAUAAUCAUGUGCAAGGGGUCAUGGUAUGGUCUCGUAACCGAGGGACCCUCUUCUGUGUAUCCCUUUUUGUUGUAAUCAUGCUUUGCAAUAUAAAUGUUUGAAUAAAAAGGGGCAUCAAGAAAUUGAAAGAUUACAAGCUGAUCAGCUUACUCAUGACUGCCAACAAGGCAUUUACAAAAGUAAUAGCUAAUAGAAUUAGGACCACCUUAGAAUCCAAUCAACCAAAUGAGUCAGCAGGAUUUCAUACAGGCUACUCAACAAUAUACCAUAUUAGCACUGUCGAAGAUGUUAUGGAUAAAUGCAUGGAACAUAACCAACCCCUAUAUAUAACCUUCACAAAUAAUGAGAAAGCAUUUGAGUCACUUGAAACCUCACCAGUUGUGCAGGCAUUGCAGAAUUGGUGUGUACACAAACUGUAUACAAAAAUACUGGCUAAACUAUAGCUUGCUGAGCCAUAGGAGUACAUAUGUGAAGUUUAUUACAUUGUUACAAAGCGGACAGUCAACACUACCACGUCAACUGUUGUUAGACAACCGUUGAUGUAAAACAUUCAUUCACGAUCUAUACGGCGUGGCUGCAGCAUGGUGGUCAUUGCAGCACAUUUGCUACAAUAAAAUCAACUAUAAACGGUA